CUCCAUUUAUUACUUCUCAAAAGUUCAACUCCAAAGUCGUAAAUCCAAUAAAUAGCCAUAAAUCCAAAUAACAUAAUAAAUCUCGAGAAUAUCGAUAAAAGCAUAAAAUCCGCAAGUUUGAAAAAGAAAGAAAUAAAACUCCCAAAGCACCAAUCCGAUAGUAAUCACUCCUGCCCGUCGGUCUCACCUGAAAGGGGGAAGAAAGAGGGGUGAGUAACAGGGGAGUUACUCCGUGAGGUAUGAGAUGCUAAACCACAAACCACUGACUCAGUACAUAGCACUACGACUAUGUAGGCCUAGCUCUAGCAUGAAACAAACACGGUGUCUAAUACACCACAUAAAACAUCAAAUGCGCUGAUAGUGCAUAACUAGAUCACACACCCCGCAUUCUCCUUAUACGGAUAUAAAUAUAUAACUCUAUGCGCCGCUAGUACAAGAGUCCAUCCUUGUACCCCGCAAUCACCUAUGCGCCGCUAGUACAAACGUCUUUGUACCCCGCAAUCCCUCAUACAAUGCGCCGCUAGCAUAGACGUCCAUAUGCCUCGCAAUCUCCAUACAAUGCGCCGCUAACACAAACGUCUCUGUGUCCCGCAAUCUCCACACAAUGCGCCGUUAGCACAACAUCUUUGUGCCCCGCAAUCUCAUAACAGACUUAUGUAUAUACAUAUAUAAAUAACAGUUUUUAAUUCAUUCAAUUCAAUCAACCGUUGAAUCCUCUAUUAUCCUAUUUCCGGUUUAACAAUCAAUAAUAGUAAUAAACAAACAAGACUCUCAAACAGACUCAAUUCACAGAGACGGAUCAUGUUUCGAAACUAAACUUUCCAUAAUAGUAGUACUAAACUAGCUCAGGAUUUAAUGGGAUAGCCCUCACCUUAGCCAAUAUCGGAGAACCGGAAACAUAAAAGAAACCAAUGAUUGGAAAGGCUUAGACCGGCUUCACCUUAGCGCAUAAAGGAAACGAUCGGAAAAAGAAACAAAAAGAGACAGUUAGGGCUAGGGUUUACAGUAACUUCCUGCUCAAGAAAUAAACAAAGUCACUUAAACCUUUACGCAUGGGUUCACGGCUCAUGACGUUGGCUCAGAAAUUGGUACAAGUGAACAAUCAAACUUAAGAAACUUGGUGGGCAAGCAAGUGAUGAGAUCAUGAUUUACUUGCACGGGUCUUGACGGCGGUGACUUGCGGCGACUAAGUCAAUGACGGCAUGUCUCUCCGGUGGGCUGCAACAACCCAACGUCAAGAGGUGGUGAUGGGACGGUGGCACCAAAGUCACGGUUGUGUGUCCGACGUGACGAGGUGGCUAGGACGACAAGCAAGACAGUGACCUCGAGGCAAUGAUUCCAUCCUUUGAUCAACAUCAAUAUCAACAUCAAGAGAAGAAUAAAAUGGAGAGAAGGGAACAUGGAGAUCAUGAAUUAGGAAGAAGAAGAAGAAGGUGGUGUGGAGAAGAGUGCUGGCGGCUCACGUUUAGGAAGAAUAAGACAAUUAUAUAGUUAGGUAAAAUAAUUGGUUUACUAAGGGUUUUGUUCAAGAAAUAAUUAAAACUAAACCAAACCAUUAUUUAUUAAAACCGGAUUAUCGGGUCACGGUCGUUACAGAAC
rnacentral:lncRNA from 1 species